AACUUUAACCAGUAGUGAAUAAUGCAUUACUCUUCAAUACUGUCUGCCAAUUUUUCAAUUAAAUAGAUAAUUUUUGAGAAAUCUGUAAUAUUGAAUUUCGUAAGUAAACCGGGCAAGCGGGUGUCUGCGCGGGCGACGAGGAGCAUUCGCCUCUCGGCCGUUGUAUGAGGAGCUUGUGUCGUUUGAUGCGACGCGCGCGCAUUUAUUGUUUAUUAUUUUAUUUUUAUUGACCCCACAAUUUUGACAUUUGUGUGAUAGGACACUGUAGACACUUUAGUUUUACAAGUGAACGAAAGGACGCAUUUACUUAUUUGCUUGUGCAAAUACUGUUUAUUUAGUUUUAUAAGCGAGCGAAAGGACGAAAUAACUACCUAUUUGUUUACUUGUGUAAAUUGAAUAUGCCGAAAGUAUCAAAAGUGAAAUGAUAUCAGCAACAAAGGCUCACGGAAAUAAAAAUCGCAGUAGCUCAAAGAAAAAGACAGGUACUACAACAACUCGAUGUAAAUAUAGAAAACCAAGAUUUAACUUCAGAAAAUUGUCAACUUCGAACUUGCGAUGUCACACAGACUACCUUCAAAAAAGUGCCACAAGGUCUAGAUUUAACUACGCCUAUGGCACAUAAGAAUAAGUUUGCAGAGUCAACUAAUGGGUUUAAUUCAACCUAUUGUCAUGGAUUAGAAAGUGAAGAAAAAGAGUAUACUGUUACUACGGAACCGGAAGAAAUUAUAUCCGAUAAACACGUCGGAAGGAAGAUUGUGGCCAUAUCUCAAUUCAAAAAUUACUCAACUUUUGUAAACAUGGCCAUCUAGCGUAUUCAUCGAAUGAUAUAAUACUAACAGGAGAAAAUCAAAAUAGUCUGAUAUCAUUAUUUACUUUUCAGUGUAAAAUGUAUAACGUAACUCUUACAAUCGAAAAUGAUAUUAUUAUGAAUUAAUUUGAAUGCAUGUGCAGUAGCUGGUACCAUCGCAAUAGGAUGUGGCCGGUCACAACUUGAAGAAGUGUUGUCAGCUAUAAAUUUGCCUAGUUUCACUGAAAAUACAUACGACCACAAUCACAAGGUUAUUGGCAAACAUCGUCAUCUCAUUGAGGUGAAAUGUCCCAUUACAGCGCAUAGAAUCGGCAUAGACGAAGCUAUCAGGAAGACAAAAAUAACCGUCUGGAAAAUAAAUAAGAAUGGUCAAUACCACAUUAACAAAAAUUGGUAUUACCAAAUUCAAGGUCAAUUACAUGUAACACAAAGCAAAAAAUGUAUAUAUGCGGUAUGGGGCAGUGAAAAUGAAUCGCUUAGAAUCGAAAUUAUUAA